CAGGCGCCGCUUCUUCUUCGCCCUGCCUUUGCCUUGCCCAAGCGCGCACGAAAGGGGAAAGAGCGGCCACCCGGCCGCCGGACAAGCCCGGGGGGGAAAAAAGUGCCCGGCCGAAGGGUUCUGGGAGCCUCCCCUGGAAGAAGGACCCCGGACCGGCCUCUUACCUGCACUUCAGCUGCUUUGGGUGAGCUCCGCCAAUAUAAAGUCAUGAUCCACAGGUGAACCAGUGAAGUACGUCAGCUGAAAGCCAAGAAUCACUACGUGGCUCAGUGGCUAAGACGCUGAGCUUGUCGGUCAGAAAGGUCGGCAGUUCGGUGGUUCGGAUCCCUAAUACAUCCUGCGUCCGAAAUCUUGGCACAAAAGCACUAACCUUUGGUUCCAACUGAGCUGUCCAACACCUGUAGCAAGCAUCUGGAAACGGUGGGUGAGACCAGGUUCUGCUUUCCCAGCGGUUCAGCACCCAACUAUAG